UGCUACAGGAAUUUGGUAAAACCCCUGAGAUCUGUCCAAGCUGGUAAAAUAAAUUUUCCCACCAAGUUCUUCGAUUUGGUCUUCGAUGAUUGGAAGCGGAUAUUUGUCUUUCAAGCUUUCUAAAAUCAACGCACAAUCAAUAGUCUCCAUUCUUUUUGCGUACCUACCAAUAAAAUCGGGCUGGGAUAGUUUGACUUGGAUUCCCGAAAAAUACAGUUUCCUAACACAUCAUCUAUUUUAUCCCUAACAACAUCCUUUUCUGCGAACGACAACCUGCAUGGACGAUAACAGACUGGCUUUUCAGAGUUAAGUUUGAUGUUCAAUUGUAUUUUAUCGGCUAAGCCUAGUUCGUUUGUAUUAGUUGCGAAUGAAUCCGAGUAUGUUUGUCAGAUACUGACAAGUUCUUUUAGAAUUUUAAGAUUCUACAAAUGAAUCUUUGUCAUGGAUUUAUUGUAUUUCAAGGAUAGAAAUCGGAAUUUGACUUUCCUUACAAUUUCUACUAUAAUUAAUUUAAUCUUUAAACCGAAUUUCGUUUGUUACGUGUCCACGUGCUAAAAGUUGGUCCUUUUUUAUUAAAAGCGUACCAAAGUUAACGAUGGUUAACGGUUGUACGAACGGUUAAUAAAUAACGAUGCAACUGGAUAAUACUGUACCGAAGAUGGAACACUAUACAAAAAUACCGUUAAAAGAACAGGUUCACCUAUCAAUAAAUAUAGGGGUAGAUUGAGCAAGAUUAUCCUUACUAUUUGUUUUACAAAUAUUGCACAUCGCGGCGGAAUCGUGAUUUGUAUUCUUGGGACAGAAACGGACCACGUGUCCGGGCUCGUUGUAUAAGAAAAUUGAUUCCAAUUUAACAUGGAAAAACUCACAUCGAAUAUGUUUAUAAAAGAGUUAAUCAAGCAUCGUAUUGUUUGAACAUGUUAGCAAAAAGUACUAAUGACGGCUUAUUAUGGUCAAGUAGCCUCUGUAUAAAGAUAUGGCAUAAUUUUUGGGGGCAACGGCUCUAACAUAAAAACGUGUUACUGGCCCAAAGAGGAUGCGUGAGAGUUAUAUGUAGAUUGUCCCAGAGAGACCAUACCUUACUUCCAAAAACUUCGUUUAUUAACUGUACCUUCAUUAUGAAACUAUUUUGUUUGUAGCUAAUAAAUAAAAAGUAAAAAAAAAGUUAACAGAAUUUGAUAACAAAAGACGAAAAAAUUGAGAUUCCCGUCACCAAAAACCGCUCGUACCAUUAAUAGUUCUAUCAUUAUGGCAGUUAAAAAAUUUUAAACAAAUUACCUUUUGGAAAUAAGAGAACUUGUAAACAUAAAUAAAAUAAAAACGUUAAAAGUAACUAUUUGAAUAUUUAACCAUUUUCCUCUUUCUUUUUUUUUCUUUGUGGUAAUCUUGUAAUAAUUUUAGGACUAAAUAUUCAAAAUUGUAAAUCCCUUUUAUUGUAUAACUUCAUUCAUUUCAAACAAUCGUAAUUUUUACUUUUUUUUUGUAUUUAGAUUUUAUUAUGUUUAACACAAUUAAUAUUUUUGCAUGCUAGCUUGGCGUGGUACAGCGGGACCAGUAUUAUUAUGUAUUCGUACCUAUAAGAUGACCUGUAUCAAUAACUAAAUUUGAUCAAAUUGAAUUGAAACAAACGUUUUUAUUCUCAUCUCUAUUAUCCUGUACGCCGCCAUCUUUAUCCCCGAAACUGUUUCUAAAAGUCUGCAUUAUACAAUUUAUUCCAGACAGAUGUAAAAAGCAUGUAAAAAGAUUUAUUUUAUCUUCAUUUACGCAAAGAAUUUGGGAAUAUAAUUCUCCUGGUGUCCUAUAAUUACCUGCCCUGGCCAUGGCUCUAAUGUGAUAAAGAAAUCCACCAAUGAUGCAGGACACAGCUUUUAAAUUAGUGAUGUCACAUUUCGUCAACAGGUUACAUUUGGAAUAGGAAUAGUGAGUCAUAAUUUCAUUUUGAUACCAUUUGACGUACCAUUUGCUUCAAUGACUCAACAACACCAAUACUUUGAGGAAGUCUCCAUAAUUUUAUCUUUCCAUUCCUGCCAUGUAUACUCAUACGAAAGUAGUGAAAUAUGCUUCAUUUUACCUAAACCUACUAAACAGGCUUCCAUGUAAUAAAACUCUUUACGGAGUUGUUCCAAACAUGAAUUGUUCCUAACUGUUCAAUUUUAUUUAGCCAUUGACGUGCGGGUAAUUCAGUUUUUUUUUUGACUGACUGACUUCCGGUAUAAUGUGAGGUUUAGCCAACAGAGAAGAAUAUGGAAAGAUCCUACCAGUACCGCUCGGUGAACGUCGUAUCCGCCGUCACCCUGUAGACUCAACGUGGCAGCGAAGUUGGCGCCGGGAGCUGCUUUCGUUGUCAUCUUCUUGCACCCGUGGCUGCUCACGCUCCAUUCUCCAUGGACACCACCUCACCCGGCUGCGCGACCGGGUUCUGCUACGGGAAAUCAUCCCACUUCUGAAAAUUGUUAGACCAAGCAUUAGAUGUGACCUAUUAAGAUAGAAUUAAAACAACAAACACCAGUAAUUAAUUAUAUAUUUCUCCCAUAUUUUCCUUUAUGUUCCACUUCAUUAAAUUCAUCUAUUCAAAAUUCUCAUUUCAACAGGUAAAUGCAAUUCAUAUAAUAACACUAAUAUAAUCAGAACAUUCAACAAAGCAAGUACACUAUCACCACGUGUGCUAAUUUAGGUUAGGUAAUUUCAUCUCUUAUGAUAUAAUCAAAUAAUCAACAAAGCAAAUAAAUUAUCAACACGUGGUUUUAUUUUAGGUUAUGUAACUGUAUUUAUUUUAACAUUAUUAACCAAAGUUCAUUACUACCGCCUUUGUAAUCUUAUUCCACCAAUAAUAAAAAUGGCGGGACAAACUUAUUAGUUUUACAGAACUAGCAAAAUUACGUUAUUUGAAAUUCAUUUUAAUCACACAAUUAUUUCCGAUGGAAAUCCAGAGAAAAUCAUUUUAACCAACAAUAACCAAUUUACACAAUGUGGAUAAAACCUCAAACUAUAACAAAUCAAAGUUUAAGCAGAUUUAGGAAAUUAUCACAAUAUGG